rnacentral:rRNA from 1 species
GAAAAGAAACCAACCGGGAUUGCCUCAGUAACGGCGAGUGAAGCGGCAAGAGCUCAAAUUUGAAAGCUGGCCCCUCCGGGGUCCGCAUUGUAAUUUGCAGAGGAUGCUUCGGGCUCAGCCCCCGUCUAAGUGCCCUGGAACGGGCCGUCGGAGAGGGUGAGAAUCCCGUCUGGGACGGGGUGCCUGGGUCCAUGUGAAGCUCCUUCGACGAGUCGAGUUGUUUGGGAAUGCAGCUCUAAAUGGGUGGUAAAUUUCAUCUAAAGCUAAAUACUGGCCGGAGACCGAUAGCGCACAAGUAGAGUGAUCGAAAGAUGAAAAGCACUUUGAAAAGAGAGUUAAACAGCACGUGAAAUUGUUGAAAGGGAAGCGCUUGCGAUCAGACUCGCCUGCGGGGUUCAGCCGGCAUUCGUGCCGGUGUACUUCCCCGUGGGCGGGCCAGCGUCGGUUCGGGUGGCCGGUCAAAGGCCCCGGGAAUGUGUCGCCCUCCGGGGCGUCUUAUAGCCCGGGGUGCCAUGCGGCCUACCUGGACCGAGGAACGCGCUUCGGCUCGGACGCUGGCGUAAUGGUCGUAAGCGACCCGUCUUGAAACACGGACCAAGGAGUCUAACAUCUACGCGAGUGUUUGGGUGGCAAACCCAUACGCGCAGUGAAAGCGAACGGAGGUGGGAACCCUUCGGGGCGCACCAUCGACCGAUCCUGAUGUCUUCGGAUGGAUUUGAGUAAGAGCGUAGCUGUGGGGACCCGAAAGAUGGUGAACUAUGCCUGAAUAGGGCGAAGCCAGAGGAAACUCUGGUGGAGGCUCGCAGCGGUUCUGACGUGCAAAUCGAUCGUCAAAUUUGGGUAUAGGGGCGAAAGACUAAUCGAACCAUCUGGUAGCUGGUUCCUGCCG